GACGAACGCUGGCGGCGUGCUUAACACAUGCAAGUCGAACGGGCCUUGUCCCCUUUUUUUUUGGGGGUGGGGUUAGUGGCGAACGGGUGAGUAACACGUGAGUAACCUGCCCCUCACUUCUGGAUAACCGCUUGAAAGGGUGGCUAAUACGGGGUGUUCUGGCCUGGUCGCAUGGGUGGGUUUGGAAAGAUUCGACCGGUUUUGGAUGUUUUGGUGGGGGAUGGGCUCGCGGCCUAUCAGCUUGUUGGUGGGGUGAUAGCCUGCCAAGGCUUUGACGGGUAGCCGGCCUGAGAGGGUGGGCUGUCACACUGGGACUGACACACGGCCCAGACUCCUACGGGAGGCAGCAGUGGGGAAUAUUGCACAAUGGGCGCAAGCCUGAUGCAGCUACGCCGCGUGAGGGAUGGAGGCCUUCGGGUUGUGAACCUCUUUCGCCAGUGAAGAAGGUCCUGCUCUUUGUGGUGGGGUUGACGGUAGCUGGGUUAAUGAAGCGCCGGCUAACUACGUG
rnacentral:rRNA from 1 species